rnacentral:rRNA from 1 species
GAUGAAUGCUAGCGGCAGGCUUAAUACAUGCAAGUCGUGGGGCAGCAUGAGUAGCAAUACUUGAUGGCGACCGGCAAACGGGUGCGGAACACGUACACAACCUUCCGAUAAGUGGGGAAUAGCCCAGAGAAAUUUGGAUUAAUACCCCGUAACAUAUAGAGUUGGCAUCUUCUUUAUAUUAUAGCUCCGGCGCUUAUUGAUGGGUGUGCGUCUGAUUAGGUAGUUGGCGGGGUAACGGCCCACCAAGCCUACGAUCAGUAGUUGAUGUGAGAGCAUGAUCAGCCACACGGGCACUGAGACACGGGCCCGACUCCUACGGGAGGCAGCGGUAAGGAAUAUUGGACAAUGGGCGAAAGCCUGAUCCAGCCAUGCCGCGUGAAGGAUUAAGGUCCUCUGCAUUGUAAACUUCUUUUAUUUGGGACGAAAAAAGGGAAUUCUUUCCCACUUGACGGUACCAAGUGAAUAAGCACCGGCUAACUCCGUGCCAGCCGCCGCCGUAA